ACAACCAUAGUGCAAAUGACAACAAAAUGUGCAUUUACAAAAUAAUAAUAGUAAAUUAAAAAACAAUAAAUAUCAAGACCAUGAGAGGAAUGGUCCUUGAAAAUGAGUCCAUAGGUUGUGGGAACAUUUCAAUGACGGGGCAAGUGAAAUUGAGUGAAGGUAUCCCCUUUGGUUCAAGAACCUGAUGGUUGAGGGGUAAGAACUGUUCCUGAGUCUCGUGGUGUGAGUCCUGAGGCUCCUGUGCUCUCUUACUAAUGGCAGCAGCGAGAGGAGACCAUGACCUGGAUGGUGGGGUUCCCUGAUGAUGGCUGCUGCUGUCCGAUGACAGCACUCCAUGUAGAUGUGCUCAAAGGUGGGGAGGGCUUUACCCAUGAUGGACUGCACCAUAUCCACUACUUAUUGUAGGAUUUUCCAUUCGAGGGCGUUGGUGUUUCCAUACCAGGCUUUGGUGCAACUAGUCAAUACAGUAUACUCUCCCCCACACAUCUAUUGCAGAUUGUCAAAGUUUUAGAUGCCAUGCCCAAUCUUUGCAAACUUCUAAGGAAGUAGAGGCACUGCUAUGUUUCCUUUGUAAAUACACUUCAGUGCUGGACUCAAGACAGACCUUCUGAAAUUAUAACACUGAGGAAUUUAAAGCUGUCGACCCCCUCCAUCUCUGAUGACCCAGUGAGGACUGGAUCAUGGACCUCUGGUUUCCUCAUCCUGAAGUCAAUAAUUAGCUCUUUGGUGUUGCUGACAUUGACUGAGAGGUUACCGUUGUGUCAACACUCAGAGAGAUUUUCAAUCUCCUUCCUAUAAGCUGAUUCGUCACCACCUCUGAUUCAGCUAAUGACUGUGGUGUCAUCAGCAAACUUAAAUAUGGCAUUGGAGCUGUGUCUAGCCACACAGUCAUAAGUGUAAAGUGAGUUGAACAGGGAGCUAAGCACACAGCCUUGUGGUGUAACUGCGCUAAGGGAGAUGGUGGAUCCGAUAUCGUCACCAAUCCGAACUGACUGGGGUUUGCAGCUGAAGAGAUCCAGGAUCCAAUUGCACAAGGAAGUAUUGAGGCCCAGGUCUUGAAGCUGAUUGAUCAGUUUUAAGGGGAUGGUAGUGCUGAAUGCCAAGCUGUAGUCAAUAAAGAGCAUCCCGAUGUAUGCAUCCUUGCUGUCUAGAUGUUCCAGGGUUGAGCGUAGAGCCGAACAAAAGGCAGCUGCUGUGGACCUGUUGUGCUGGUAGUCAAGCUGGAACGGAUCCAAGUCGCUUGUCAGGGAGCGAUUCCUCGCUGUAGACGUUGCCUGACUGGCUGAGUUCCUCCAGCGUUUUGUGUGAUAAUAGAGAAUGCGUGAAGUGUAGUUCUAUACUCGUUCUGUAUCUCAGAGGCAACAGAGAAACUCCCGCUGCUGGCUCACUUGACGCUUUUUUAUUUGGGGCUAUGCGCUUCAAUUCACUUUGCCCAUGUGUUCAGUCCAAACACACCUUGUGUUGGCAGAUUCUAACAUAAAUAAUAACCAAAGCACCAUUUCCUCGUUUCGUUAUUUACAGAAAGUACAGGAAUAUUUUCCAUUGUUAUUGAACACGCCGAUGAUGACGCAACCCUGGAAAUGAUUUCAGUGUGUUUUAUUUUUUAACAUCUCUGUUCCUGACUCAGAAACAAGCCCCUCUGAGGCAGAAGACUGUGGCUUCAAAUUGGGCGUCACGGCAGGGUGGCGGUUAACGCCACACUAUCGCAGCUCGGGGUGUCGGAGUUCAGAGGUCCAUUCUGACGUCGCCUACAAGGAGCCUGUAGAUCCUCCCCGUGAAUGCAUGUGUUUCCUUUGGAUGUCACCGUUUCCUCCCACAGUUCAAAGACGUAAGGCCAUGAACUUAUCAAUCACCCCUGCUGUGGACACUUUCUGGAGUUCCAAGAUCCGUAUGCUCCACGACUGCUGGACUAACUCCUUGCUAACCUACUUGGCUCAAUUGCGCUGCCGACAUGACAACCAGCCCCUGGAGUGAAACAAAACGCACCCCAUGGUCUGAGCCUGCUCUCACUGCGACCGAGUUAAUGGUAACCAGGCAACCAACCACACGACUGCUGCACUAGCGGCCGUGUGUUUCUGUUGUUGAGACAGUUGAUUCAGACACAGACCCUGUUAUUUAAGGCCUGUGUCUUUGGUUCACAAAGUAAUCUGUUCCAUGCUGCUCGGGGAGGCUUAGAAAAUAAAUAGACGAGGUCCAGCACAAUCGAUUGUGCUUCUGUUUGCUCGCGCUGACUAACUGAAUCCUGCUGCUGUUUUACUGAUGAAUUCAAGCACCUUUCCGCUGCUGUGUUUAGCUUCAUUUCUUCAAAGCCAAAGUAAAUUUAUUAUCAAAGUAUGUAUAUGUCACCAUAUACAACCCUGAGAUUCGUUGUCUCGUAGGCAUUCACAGGUAGGUAAAGAAAUACAACAGAAUUUAUGAAAAACUAGACUGACAACCAAAGUUCAAAGUAAAUUUAUUUUCAAAGUCUGUAUAUGUCACCACAUACUACUCCAAGAUUUCAUUUUCAUGAGGGAAAUUCACAGCAGAUCAAAGACAUACAAUAGAAUCAAUGAAAAACCACAGACAAGAUUGACAAAAAAAAAUCAAUGUGCAAUGGAAGACAAACUGUGAAAAUGCAAAAUAAAAACAAUAAUAAUGAUAAUAAAUAAAUAAUAGAUGAAUUGAGCAAAUACAAAUAUAAUACUGCGAACAUGAGUUGUAGGGACCUUGAAAGUGAGUCUGUAAGUUGUAGAAUCAGUUUAGUGUUGAGGUGAGUGAAGUUAUCCACUCUGGUUCAGGAGCCUGAUGGUUGACAUUGCUUUCCUGGGCAUUGAUGUUUCCAUACCAGGCCUCAGCAGAAGCUGAAUUUCCUGCAUCUGCAUCUGCAGAAUCUCUUCCUUCAUUGUCCUUCGGUCUCCUUCUGGAAUCAACAGGACUUUAGGGUAUAUCUUCACCAAUAGAUAGCUCACCACUUUCUUGAGGGAAGCUCUGGAUGAUUACUAAAUGCUGGCCUUGCCGGCAAUACCCACAUCCUAACUGGUCAAAGUCAAAGUUAUUAGGUGUGAACAUCACCAAUAACCUGUCCUGGUCCAACCAAGUUGAUGUCAUGACCAAGAAAUCUCACCAACACCUUUACUUCCUUAGGGGGCUAAAAAACAAUUGACAUGUCCCCGCCAACGCUUAGCAAUUUUUAUCAAUGCAUCUCAGCAAGCAUUCUACCUGGAUCCAUGAUGGCUUGGUGUGAUAACCAUUCUGCACAUGACCACAAGAAUCUGCACAGUUCAGUGCAUCGUGGAAACCAGCCUCCCAGCAAUGGCCCUUGUCCAUACUAUCAACUGCCUCAGUAAAGCAGCCAGCAUAGUUGACAUGGGCAUUCUGGACAUCCUCUCUUCUCUCUUCUUCGAUCAGGAAAAAUAUACAGAAGCCUGAACACAUGCAAGAGCAAACUCAAAGCGCCCUCUACCCACUGUUGUCAUCCUCUUGAUUGCACCUCUUGUAUGAUAAGAUGGACGUUUCUACCAAGGGAGGUGUAAGGCGCUCUUUCCCACCGCUAGCCAGCAGGUCAUCCUUGGACAAGGUGUAGCACCUGCUUAGCUCUCGAUCAGGGCCACGAGAAGCCCUCUUGAACCAAAGGGGAUAACUUCACUUGAACCAUCAUUGAAAUGUUCCCACAACCAAUGGACUCACUUUCAAGGACUCUUCAAUAGGUUCAAUAGUUCCCUUUAAUAACAGGGAAUGUGCGCAUUAUACAACCUGAAAUUCUUGCUCUUUGCAGAAAUCCACAAAAGCAGAAGAGUGCCCCAAAGAACCUGAUAGUAAAAAUGUUAGAACCCCAGAGCCCCCCAUACUCCCCCCACACACAAACAGCAGCAAAGCCCUCCCCCAGCAAAAAUAAAAUAAUCAGCACCCUCCACCCACCAAGCAAGCAAUUGCAAAGCCCCCCGAAGAUAGACCAUGAUCUGCAGUCCAACCUAAUCGUUCACCCAACAAUUCGACAUACCAUCGGUUCUCUCACAAAAAUACAACUGCAGAUGCUGUGGAUCAAAGAAUACGUACACAAUGCUGAAGAACUCAGCAGGUCA